rnacentral:rRNA from 1 species
GAUGAACGCUGGCGGUGUGCCUAAUACAUGCAAGUCGAGCGAACAGACGAGGAGCUUACUCCUCUGACGUUAGCGGCGGACGGGUGAGUAACACGUGGAUAACCUACCUAUAAGACUGGGAUAACUUCGGGAAACCGGAGCUAAUACCGGAUAACAUGUUGAACCGCAUGGUUCAACAGUGAAAGACGGUCUUGCUGUCACUUAUAGAUGGAUCCGCGUCGCAUUAGCUAGUUGGUAAGGUAACGGCUUACCAAGGCAACGAUGCGUAGCCGACCUGAGAGGGUGAUCGGCCACACUGGAACUGAGACACGGUCCAGACUCCUACGGGAGGCAGCAGUAGGGAAUCUUCCGCAAUGGGCGAAAGCCUGAAGGAGCAACGCCGCGUGAGUGAAGAAGGUCUUCGGAUCGUAAAACUCUGUUAUUAGGGAAGAACAAAUGUGUAAGUAACUAUGCACGUCUUGACGGUACCUAAUCAGAAAGCCACGGCUAACUACGUG